ACGAACAAAGGGACGACAUAGAAUAGCAUCGGUGCAAACAGAAAGAAAGAAGAGAGAGAGAGAGAGAGAGGGAAGACAGGUAUGCUCAAUCUGUAAUGAACUCAGUAUAGGAUCACAGUAAGACAGGAAUGGAUUAUGUUCGUUGCCAUUAUUACUAAAAUCAUUGCUUGCGUCUUAAUUAAACACCAGGCCUUUAGUACUGCUCCUUAAACUUCAGGACGUGGUUUCUACUUUCUUUCCCGAACCAAUCCGUUGUUAGCGGGAGGAGUCCAAGCAGUGGACCUGAGGGACGGAUAGCAGUGUUUUACGAGUUCGGCGGAGCGCUUGACGACUCCGAAGGUCCGAGGUCCGGUGGGGGGCUUAUUCGGGGGUGUCGUCUCCGGUACAAGCGCGCGACAUGCUCCCGCAUCAGAGAAUCGCGGGGCGAGAGCGGAGAACAUUUCACUGGCGGACCGCCUCACCGUGGACCACGUAAGUGAACUCUUUAUUUACAAUAUAGAUGCUUCAGUAUUGGUUUCCCCCUCAGAAAGUCUCUUACUUACCGUGUACCGUAUUGUGAGUUGAAGUGACAUUUAAAGGACCGUGUCUUCUGGUGGGAGCACGUCAGUGUGUUCCCGCUGGAUGCGCGAGCCGCGACGGAUUAAUAACGGUCACCUCGAUGCGCGCGCACCUUCUGAAAUUCUUCACCGCUUAGUUUAUUGGGUUUCAAAGAACCGAGUCGAGUUUUAUUCGGUCUCGUUCAGUUAGUCCGGUUUUGUUUUAUUUCUCACUUACUAUACUUAUAUAUACACUAUAUAAUACUCUACACAGAUCCCACAGUCGCAAAAAAAUACGAGUUAGCCUAUUUAAUGUCAUAGCAUUAUACGUUUUCUAGAUUACUUUUCUCUUAUGUAUUUAAUCAAGACAUUUGUGUUUGUGAAUACAGUUUACAUGAAAAAGUUUUUAAAGGGUAUAGUGGGGGAAAACCUCCCUUAAGGAUUUUUUUUUCUGUGAAACAAAAGUUAAUAUGUCCAGAAUAGUUUGGCUAUCAUAGUUUUUGAGACAAUGACAUAAACCACAUAUGAUAAAUGUCCAGAGUUUUCAUGUUAUUAGAUUUAGAACAAAAAUUUAAUUUGAACCAAGGGAGCAUUUUGCCCCAAAGGUGAUUAAAAUGUCCCCAGUCUUGUCAAGGCAAUUUUUGCUUUAUACCUUUGCAGCAAAAAUUAGAGUACAGGUACUAUGUUAUUAGAUUUAGAACAAAAUUAAUUUGAACCAAGGAGC
rnacentral:lncRNA from 1 species